rnacentral:rRNA from 1 species
UACGAAGGGGGCUAGCGUUGCUCGGAAUCACUGGGCGUAAAAGGGUGCGUAGGCGGGUCUUUUAAGUCAGGGGUGAAAUCCUGGAGCUCAACUCCAGAACUGCCUUUGAUACUGAAGAUCUUGAGUUCGGGAGAGGUGAGUGGAACUGCGAGUGUAGAGGUGAAAUUCGUAGAUAUUCGCAAGAACACCAGUGGCGAAGGCGGCUCACUGGCCCGAUACUGACGCUGAGGCACGAAAGCGUGGGGAGCAAACAGGG